rnacentral:rRNA from 1 species
CGCGGCCUAUCAGCUUGUUGGUGGGGUGAUGGCCUACCAAGGCGACGACGGGUAGCCGGCCUGAGAGGGCGACCGGCCACACUGGGACUGAGACACGGCCCAGACUCCUACGGGAGGCAGCAGUGGGGAAUAUUGCACAAUGGGCGCAAGCCUGAUGCAGCGACGCCGCGUGAGGGAUGACAGCCUUCGGGUUGUAAACCUCUUUCGCCAGGGACGAAGCCUUUUGGGGUGACGGUACCUGGAGAAGAAGCACCGGCUAACUACGUGCCAGCAGCCGCGGUAAUACGUAGGGUGCGAGCGUUGUCCGGAAUUAUUGGGCGUAAAGAGCUCGUAGGCGGUUUGUCGCGUCGGCCGUGGAAACUGGAGGCCUAACCUUCAGCGUGCGGUCGAUACGGGCAGACUUGAGUUCGGUAGGGGAGUCUGGAAUUCCUGGUGUAGCGGUGAAAUGCGCAGAUAUCAGGAGGAACACCGGUGGCGAAGGCGGGACUCUGGGCCGAUACUGACGCCGAGGAGCGAAAGCGUGGGGAGCGAACAGGAUUAGAUACCCUGGUAGUCCACGCUGUAAACGUUGGGCGCUAGGUGUGGGUGACAUUCCACGUUGUCCGUGCCGUAGCUAACGCAUUAAGCGCCCCGCCUGGGGAGUACGG